GUCCCUUUAGCGCAAUGGAUAGCGCGUUGGACUUCUAAUCCAAAGGGCGUGAGUUUGGAGGCCACCUGGGAUG